CGUAGGCAGCAAACGUUGUUCGGAAUUACUGGGCGUAAAGAGUGUGUAGGCGGUUCUGUAAGAUUGGUGUGAAAUCUCCCGGCUUAACUGGGAGGGUGCGCCGAUAACUGCAGGGCUUGAGUAUUGGAGAGGAGAGCGGAAUUCCUGGUGUAGCGGUGAAAUGCGUAGAUAUCAGGAGGAACACCGGUGGUGUAGACGGCUCUCUGGACAAUCACUGACGCUGAGACACGAAAGCGUGGGGAGCAAACAGGAUUAGAUACCCUGGUAGUCCACGCCCUAAACGAUGCAUACUUGGUGUGAGCCAUUCAUUUGGUUCGUGCCGGAGCUAACGCGUUAAGUAUGCCGCCUGGGGAGUACGGUCGCAAGGCUG
rnacentral:rRNA from 1 species